rnacentral:rRNA from 1 species
UGUUCGGGUUGUCAUGCCAAUGGCACUGCCCGGUAGCUAAAUGCGGAAGAGAUAAGUGCUGAAAGCAUCUAAGCACGAAACUUGCCCCGAGAUGAGUUCUCCCUGAGACUUUAGGUCUCCUGAAGGAACGUUGAAGACGACGACGUUGAUAGGCCGGGUGUGUAAGCGCAGCGAUGCGUUGAGCUAACCGGUACUAAUGAACCGUGAGGCUUAACCUUACAACGCCGAAG